AAUGGGGUCCAUUUAUUUGUGAGAGGCAAGAAUCAUGGUUUACGAUUUCCACUAGGGAGCAUAAGAAGAAUAGAUAGCAACAAAAACAAAUUACAUAUUUACAUGAAUACAUUAUCAAAUCCGUGAAGAUUUAAGUCGGUGAAGCUGUGCUCUCCUCAGCUGCUAUAAAUACAUUAGCUUCUCUUCUUUUAAAUCAUGCCAACAUUCUCAGAGGGUUUUCCUUUUCCUUUCCAGUUGGUUUAUUUAGCAGCCCUGCUUAGUGGUGCUCGUUUCGUUUCAGAAAUUUAAGUAUAGAAGAAUCUGUUAAGCUCAGGAGGGAUAGCGCCACACGUGAUCUUCAAGUUUUUCUUAUAUUUAAAUCCGAUCACGUUGGUGCUAUCCAUCCUGAGCUCCAUGGGUUCUUCUUGCUCUCGCGUUUCAUGCAAGUGAUUAGAUCAUUCAAGCCGAACUGAAGACAUCAGCAGCAGCGUAGGGCUUACAGGUCAAGUAAAUUGUUUCCAGGUCCAGAAGAUACUAUUAUUGUUGUUAUUCUUCUUCUUCUUGUUUCCGACAUGUGCAUCAAUAGUUGGAAGCAAUCAUGCAUGGUUAUGCCUCUCUGUUAGGAUGGUCCGUGUUUAUUGUUUGUAUCUGGAAUUGAGCCAAGUAUCAAAGGGUAUAGGGCCUAAGUUUGUCCCUGAUUUCUUGCAAAGGCUGGACCUAUACCUUGGGAUUGGCAGUGGUACCUUGCUAUAUUUAUUUUGGCUAAUUGCUUAUCCACAUUAGUAAAUAUGACUCGUUUCGGUUUGAAUG